rnacentral:rRNA from 1 species
AUUGAACGCUGGCGGUAUGCCUUACACAUGCAAGUCGAACGGCAGCACGGGUGCUUGCACCUGGUGGCGAGUGGCGAACGGGUGAGUAAUACAUCGGAACGUACCUUAUCGUGGGGGAUAACGCAGCGAAAGCUGUGCUAAUACCGCAUACGCCCUGAGGGGAAAAGCGGGGGAUCGAAAGACCUCGCGCGAUUAGAGCGGCCGAUGCCUGAUUAGCUUGUUGGUGGGGUAAAAGCCCACCAAGGCGACGAUCAGUAGCUGGUCUGAGAGGACGAUCAGCCACACUGGGACUGAGACACGGCCCAGACUCCUACGGGAGGCAGCAGUGGGGAAUUUUGGACAAUGGGGGCAACCCUGAUCCAGCAAUGCCGCGUGAGUGAAGAAGGCCUUCGGGUUGUAAAGCUCUUUUGUCAGGGAAGAAACACCGGCUCUAACACAGUCCGGGAAUGACGGUACCUGAAGAAUAAGCACCGGCUAACUACGUGCCAGCCGCCGCGGUAA